ACGACAUAAGGCGCUAUAUGAAAUGCAAGGCUGAUUAUUAUCAGCAGGAGUUGUUGUGUGAGCUGUAGGGCCUGGCAGGCAGGCAGGCAGGCAGGCAAGGCAGGAGCUAAUGUGUAGAGCGGCCACUGAGUCAGAGUAGCGAGGGAGGGAGCGAGAAUCAAUCAAAUAAGUGACGUGUGCACUGUGAAGGAGGGCGUAGGGAAAUGAGAGAAAAUGUGGAAGACAGACAACAUAAAGGCAGAUAAGCACCUGGCAAUUCUGGCCUACAGAAACACGCCGAACGACAAUGAGGGUCAUCCACCAGCACAAAUACUGAUGUCAAUACAGUUAAGAGAUUUGUUAAUCUCAGAUGAAAAAUAAUUGAGACCUCAGAUACAACACAUGAAGGACCAGUGAAAGAGGAUCAGGAGACAGAAAGCAGGAAGCGUGGAGAACUGACCAGAGGGUUUUGGAUUGGAUUAUUUGAUUUGUAACUUGUGAACCAAGAAUAAAAUAAAUUUCUACA